rnacentral:rRNA from 1 species
AUUGAACGCUGGCGGCAGGCCUAACACAUGCCAGUCGAGCGGAUGAAGGGAGCUUGCUCCUGGAUUCAGCGGCGGACGGGUGAGUAAUGCCUAGGAAUCUGCCUGGUAGUGGGGGAUAACGUCCGGAAACGGGCGCUAAUACCGCAUACGUCCUGAGGGAGAAAGUGGGGGAUCUUCGGACCUCACGCUAUCAGAUGAGCCUAGGUCGGAUUAGCUAGUUGGUGGGGUAAAGGCCUACCAAGGCGACGAUCCGUAACUGGUCUGAGAGGAUGAUCAGUCACACUGGAACUGAGACACGGUCCAGACUCCUACGGGAGGCAGCAGUGGGGAAUAUUGGACAAUGGGCUAAAGCCUGAUCCAGCCAUGCCGCGUGUGUGAAGAAGGUCUUCGGAUUGUAAAGCACUUUAAGUUGGGAGGAAGGGCAGUAAGUUAAUACCUUGCUGUUUUGACGUUACCAACAGAAUAAGCACCGGCUAACUUCGU